ACGCCAUCUCGGAAGUCGCACUCCCAUGACGCAGAAUCAUGUGACAUCAUCUCUGUUUAUUUCUUACGAACAAAUGGAGCAUCGAUUGUGGAAGACACUUAGAGGCAAACAAAACGAAAGAACGAAGAGGAUAUCUCCAUUCUUAAUGCCAGUCAAGGAUUCAGGGAACAAGCAUUCGCGUGAUCAAACGGGGANUAUUCACGGUCGAAGUCAUCUUGUCGAUACAGGGUUAACAAAACAAUCUGUUAAUAAUUACAANAGUUUUACGUCUCCGACAAAGUACACGAUUCCUCAGCAAACGAAGACUAGUAUUCAAAUGCACCGUANAACUUUAGAAACUCGAGUGCCGAUCAACUUGAAGACAGGCGGCGGGUCUUACAUGCCGAUUCACGAGCAAAAUAUCAUUUACGGGUCAACAGCAUUGUCUCCGAAGAAACCUAGGGACACAAAGAUAGACAACGCUUCCAGGAGUAAGAAGUUUAGCAAGAAAAUUGUGUUAAAAGAACCGAAANUUUUGUCACUGCCAAGAAUAACUUCUUCUUCUUCACAACGACAAAGAAGCAGAUCUAUCCAAGCAAAGAAAGAUGUGCAACAGUUUGCAACACACCUGAAUCUCAUAGAUGGACGUCGUAAAAGUCAAAGCUUUUACAAUACAGACUCNAACAAGGCACAGGCGUUAUCUAGUCAGCAAACUCAGGACAUACACUCUCAUUUUCACUUAGAAACAGAACUAACUUUACCAAAAAUUACAAUGGAUGAGGUCUUAAAAAGUUGGGAUGUACAUCCAACGAUUCCUUUGAGGAAGAGGUCAGCUGGGAAAUAUGAUCCAAUGGACUUUUUAAUCCGCCAAGAAAUGGAGAGCUCAACUUCUGCUGCUUGUAAUCUANCUAAGCACAGUUACGAUGAACUAAAAUCUUGCAGGUAUCUGAGACUUGAUAAAAAGUCUGAGGAAGAGUUAUCGCACAAAAGAUGUUGUCCCUGUAAUUCGUGUGAACACGGACAAGGACUUAAAGAAUCGCCUUAUUUGAAUGCAUAAGGCCUUCUAGGACCGUCUAAUCGCCUUAUUUGAAUGCAUAGGGCCUUCUAGGACCGUCUAUACGUAUCAUAUCAAUCAUAUCCUUACCCUUGUACAAAAUAUUUAAAGCUGAUUUAUAGUAGAGUGCACGCACUUAAUCCGUGCAACUGUACAAAAUCUAAGUAGUACUAAUUUGUACUAAAAGUGGACCUGAAGCGAGACGGUAUCUAGAAUGCUUCAUUUGUAUCAAUUCAAUUUAAUUUGCGUACCGCAUGCACGAUUUACUAAAUACAACUAAAUAGAACUAUUUAGUUUGUACAGUUGCACGGAUUAUGUGCGAUCACUCUAUAUCAUUGCCAUUGUUAUUAUAAACAUACAAUAUUUGAUUUA
rnacentral:misc_RNA from 1 species